GACGAACGCUGGCGGCGUGCCUAAUACAUGCAAGUCGAGCGAAGUUUUUCUGGUGCUUGCACCGGAAAAACUUAGCGGCGAACGGGUGAGCAACACGUAAAGAACCUGCCUCAUAGACUGGGACAACUAUUGGAAACGAUAGCUAAUACCGGAUAACAGCAUUAACUGCAUGGUUGAUGUUUAAAAGUUGGUUUUGCUAACACUAUGAGAUGGCUUUGCGGUGCAUUAGCUAGUUGGUGGGGUAAAGGCCUACCAAGGCGACGAUGCAUAGCCGACCUGAGAGGGUGAUCGGCCACACUGGGACUGAGACACGGCCCAGACUCCUACGGGAGGCAGCAGUAGGGAAUCUUCCGCAAUGGGCGAAAGCCUGACGGAGCAACGCCGCGUGAGUGAAGAAGGAUUUCGGUUCGUAAAGCUCUGUUGUUAGGGAAGAAUGAUUGUGUAGUAACUAUACACAGUAGAGACGGUACCUAACCAGAAAGCCACGGCUAACUACGUG
rnacentral:rRNA from 1 species